rnacentral:lncRNA from 1 species
UCCGUAUAUGAGACAGUCUUUAACACAAUGUCCUGAUUUAAAGACCUAAAAAGAACGGCAGCGUUAUUAGCUGACCCGUUAACUGGAGAAUACAUCUUUAGUAGACGGCUGACCAUCGAAGGGCUUAGCCGCUUGAGUCUGGAAUCGGCAGGAAAGAUAAAUAAUCAGCUAGCCAAAUUCCUCAGUCUGGAAACAACCGCGCA